CCUACGGGAGGCAGCAGUGAGGAAUAUUGGUCAAUGGACGCAAGUCUGAACCAGCCAUGCCGCGUGCAGGAAGACGGCUCUAUGAGUUGUAAACUGCUUUUGUACGAGGGUAAACGCAGAUACGCGUAUCUGUCUGAAAGUAUCGUACGAAUAAGGAUCGGCUAACUCCGUGCCAGCAGCCGCGGUAAUACGGAGGAUUCAAGCGUUAUCCGGAUUUAGUGGGUUUAAAGGGUGCGUAGGCGGUCUGAUAAGUUAGAGGUGAAAUCCCGAGGCUCAAAUUCGGAAUUGCCUCUGAUACUGUUCGGCUAGAGAGUAGAUGCGGUAGGCGGAAUGUAUGGUGUAGCGGUGAAAUGCUUAGAGAUCAUACAGAACACCGAUUGAGAAGGCAGCUUACCAAGCUACUUCUGACGUUGAGGCACGAAAGCGUGGGGAGCAAACAGGAUUAGAUACCCUGGUAGUC
rnacentral:rRNA from 1 species